UACAUGGGGUGCAAACGUUGCUCGGAAUUAUUGGGCGUAAAGCGCACGUAGGUGGUCUGUUAUGUCAGAUGUGAAAUCCCCGGGCUUAACCUGGGAACUGCGCUUGUAACUGGCAAGCUAGAGUGUGGCAGAGGGGGGUGGAAUUCCACGUGUAGCAGUGAAAUGCGUAGAGAUGUGGAGGAACACCGAUGGCGAAGGCAGCCCCCUGGGCUAACACUGACGCUCAUGCACGAAAGCGUGGGGAGCAAACAGGA
rnacentral:rRNA from 1 species